rnacentral:lncRNA from 1 species
AGAUGAUGGAACUGAGAAGACUCAGCUCACUAAGACCAUCCUGUGUCUCCGCCUCCAGGUCCCGACUUCCGCUUCCGGUUCUUUCCCUAAACUCGGUAGGUCAUUCAAGCAGAGGUCAGGGCCGCACUGGUGCAGCUCCCGCACCUGGUGUGGUGAUGUCCAGGAUCAAGCACUGCUUCCCCUGGCUGACCCCAUUCUUGCCCAACUGCUCGCCUACCUUCAGAGCUGAUUUAGCUGUUUGGACACGACUGGCCAAACUGGAUCUCCACCUUGCUCCUUUUCAGGAGCUUAUUGCUGCUGCUGCUGCUGCUGCUGCUAAGUCACUUCAGUCGUGUCUGACUCUGUGCGACACACCAUAGAUGGCAGCCCACAAGGCUCCCCGUCCCUGGGAUUCUCGAGGCAAGAACACUGGAGUGGGUUGCCAUUGCCUUCUCCAAUGCAUGAAAAUGAAAAUGAAAAGUAAAAGUGAAGUCGCUCAGUCGUGUCCUACUCUUAGCGACCCCAUGGACUGUAGCCCACCAGGCUCCUCCAUCCAUGGGAUUUUCCAGGCAAGAGUACUGGAGUGGGGUGUCAUUGCCUUCUCCGAGCUUACUAGACCUGCACUAUAACAGCUCCUAUGGGUAGAAGGCUAGGACCCUGGAACCUGCCAGCAUUCCUGGGAUGCCACCUGCUGGCCAGGUCCUCAGCUGCUGACACAGGAUCCUUCCUCCUGGCCUUUCUAGGACUCCCCUGAGGAUGUUUGUCGGGGCAUCUUCUGGCUGCUCCCAGCAAUUACCGUAGGAGUCAUUUCUGCAAAGCCAGCCUUCCAUCUACCCUUGCCCUUAGGUUUGCCCAUCUAGGGAUGUUCUUGCCUUUAGCUGGGCUCCAGCUGAGUCUGUCCAGGCUGCCAAAUUCCAUCAUACCUACCCUCUGUGCACCCAAUCCCACCAGGAGGCAACUUGUCACAACAUGAGGUAAAGGACCUGAAUCACAGUGAGGAAGACUGUAAAACUUUCAUUCAUUUAUCCAUUUUUAUCUUCAUGCCCUAAUAUCCCAGAGUGAAGGAGGGGGUAAAUACAUUUGUAAGUAAGUGAGACAUAACAUUAACUUCUAAUUAGCAGUAGUUUAACUACUCAAAAGCUAUUGACUUUAAUCCCACCAUCAAGUUUCCUUUUCAACACUGACUGUACGGUAAUAAUACUGGGUCUGGGAGACCAGUUUGUCCAGGAUGUGGCUGAGAACUAUAAAACUUAACUCCUAAGAUAAUGCCUAUUUGAAAUGAACACAACAUUCCUUUUUAUGUAAAGACUGUUCUGUGGAAGUUUGCUUUAAUUAUUCCCUGAAAUAAAACAUUUAUUUAGGCAGGCUCUGAUCGGGAG